ACUGCUCAGUAACACGUGGAUAACCUGCCCUAAGGAAGGGGAUAACCCCGGGAAACUGGGGAUAAUACCCUAUAGGUUACAGAUGCUGGAAUGCUCUGUAACUCAAAGUUCCGGCGCCUUAGGAUGGAUCUGCGGCCGAUUAGGUUGUUGUUGGGGUAACGGCCCAACAAGCCAGUAAUCGGUACGGGUUGUGGGAGCAAGAGCCCGGAGUUGGAUUCUGAGACACGAAUCCAGGCCCUACGGGGGCGCAGCAGGCGCGAAAACUUUACAAUGCGGGCCAACCGUGAUAAGGGAACCUCGAGUGCCUGUAUAUGCAGGCUGUCCAGGUGUCUAAAGCACACCUGAAGAAAGGGCCGGGCAAGACCGGUGCCAGCCGCCGCGGUAAUACCGGCGGCUCGAGUGGUGGCCACUUUUAUUGGGCUUAAAGCGUUCGGUAGCUGGGUUGUUAAGUCUCUUGGGAAAUCCGACGGCUCAACCGUCGGGCGUCUAAGGGAUACUGGCAAUCUUGGAACCGGGAGAGGUGAGGGGUACUUCGGGGGUAGGAGUGAAAUCCUGUAAUCCUCGAGGGACCACCUGUGGCGAAGGCGCCUCACCAGAACGGCUUCGACAGUGAGGGACGAAAGCUGGGGGAGCAAACCGGAUUAGAUACCCGGGUAGUCCCAGCCGUAAACGAUGCGCGUUAGGUGUAUCGACGACCACGAGUCGUCGAGGUGCCGAAGGGAAACCGUGAAACGUGCCGCCUGGGAAGUACGGUCGCAAGGCUGAAACUUAAAAGAAUUGGCGGGGGAGCAC
rnacentral:rRNA from 1 species